rnacentral:rRNA from 1 species
AGAGACAGCAGCAGCCACGGUAAUACGUAGGGUGCGAGCGUUAAUCGGAAUUACUGGGCGUAAAGGGCGCGCAGGCGGCUUCUUAAGUCUGUCUUAAAAGUGCGGGGCUUAACCCCGUGAUGGGAUGGAAACUGGGAAGCUCAGAGUAUCGGAGAGGAAAGCGGAAUUCCUAGUGUAGCGGUGAAAUGCGUAGAUAUUAGGAGGAACACCGGUGGCGAAGGCGGCUUUUUGGCCUGUAACUGACACUGAGGCGCGAAAGCGUGGGGAGCAAACAGGAUUAGAGACCCCUGUAGUCCCUGUCUCUUAUAC